rnacentral:snRNA from 1 species
CUGUUCUCUCUUUACAGACAUCCACAAAAUUACAGAGAAGAUUAGCAUGGCCCUGCGCAAGGAUGACAAGUGGUCCAUAUUAUUUUU